GAGAGCACGCGUCCCGACCGCGAGUGACAGUGAGUGAGCAUGUUCCGCGCCGUGGCCAUCGUGGCCACCGCGGCCUUGGCCAUCGGAGCCUCGCCGCCCGACCCCUGCUACGAGGAUGGUCGGCCCCGCCGCUGCAUCCCCGACUUCGUGAACGCAGCCUUCGGGAAUUCCGUCGUCGCCUCCUCGAUCUGCGGCAAGAGAGGUCCCGAGCGCUUGUGCGACCCUCCCGGAGACCAGAGCCCCGAGGCCGCGUGCCGGGUGUGCGACGCCGCGCGCGCUGACCGUCGCCACCCGCCGGCGCACCUCACGGACCUCAACAACCCUCACGACCUGACCUGCUGGCGCUCAGCCGCGCUACCCCCUGCUACCCACGACUCUCCUCCCGACAACGUGUCCCUGACGCUCUCGCUGGCCAAGAAAUACGAGCUCACCUACGUCAGCCUGCAGUUCUGUCCGAAGGCGGCGCGUCCCGACUCCGUGGCCAUCUACAAGAGCGCGGACUACGGCGUCACCUGGCAGCCGUUCCAGUUCUAUUCCAGCCAGUGCCGGCGGGUGUACGGGAGGCCCAACAAGGCUACUGUCACCUCAGCCAACGAACAGGAGGCGCGCUGCUCCGACUCCCACAGGCUGGGCGGAGACACCGGAAGCGGAGCGCGGCUGGCGUUCAGCACUCUGGAAGGAAGACCCAGCGCCUCCAACUUCGACGUGUCGCCGGUGCUGCAGGACUGGGUGACGGCUACGGAUGUGCGGGUGGUUUUCAACAGGCUGCACAUGGUGAGCGAGGGAGACGAGCCGGAUGGGAGGCGGCAGGCGGCACCAGGCUCGCAGCACUACGCCGUGUCGGACUUCGCCGUCGGCGGCCGCUGCAAGUGUAACGGACACGCGUCGCGGUGUAUUCCGAUGAAGGGUGAUGACGGACAGGUGAUGCAGCUGGCGUGCGACUGCAAGCACAACACGGCCGGCCGCGACUGCGAGAGAUGCAAGCCCUUCCACUUCGACCGACCCUGGGGCCGCGCCACCGCGAGGGACGCCAAUGAAUGCAAAGAGUGCAACUGCAACGGGCACGCGCGCCGUUGCCGGUUCAACAUGGAGCUGUUCAAGCUGUCAGGGCGUGCCAGUGGCGGCGUGUGUCUGAAGUGCCGCCACUACACAGCCGGACGCCACUGUCACUACUGCCGCGAGGGAUACUACCGGGACCCAGCCAAGCCCAUCACACACAAGAAGGCCUGCAAACCGUGCGACUGCCACCCGGUGGGUGCGAGCGGUAAGACCUGCAACCAGACGAGCGGCCAGUGUCCCUGCAAGGACGGCGUCACCGGCACCACCUGCAACCGCUGCGCCAAGGGCUACCAGCAGUCCCGGAGCCACAUCGCACCCUGCAUACGUAUUCCCCGCGUGGUGACUGCUGUGCAGGCCAUGGAAGCAGUGGACGCAGACCCGGGCCGCGCGGAGCAGUGCGGCCGGUGUCGCGCCGCCGCCAGAACUCUCAAUCUCAACAAGUUCUGCAGCCGAGACUACGUCAUAAUGGGUCGAGUGGUCGCACGCGAGGGCGGCAGCGCGGACGCGUGGGUUCGGCUGACGUUAAGCGUGCAGGCCGUGUACAAGCGCGCGCCGCGGUCGCGCCUACGCAGAGGGCAGCUCGCACUCUACGUCCGCGCCACAGACCUCGCCUGCAAGUGUCCCAAGAUCAAGAUUAACAAGUCCUACCUAAUCCUAGGAGUGGAAAAAGAAGGAAUAUCGUCAGGCUUGCCGGGAUUAACAGUCGGAGAUAGAACCCUGUUGUUGGAGUGGCGCGACGACUGGCACAGACGUAUCCGACGACUUCAACGGCGAGCUGUCAACUGUCACUAACUGCCGCCAUAUUUAAAAAGUAUUCGCGAGGCAACAGUCGCGGGUAGAGCCUCUAAAAUCGAAUGUUGAAUGGAUCCGUCUAUGUUCCGUGCAAAACUGCCAUUAUGCUGUCUAAUAUAGUUACGACUAGUCGUCUGUAAGUUAAUUAAUAGAUUCAUUAGAUAUAUCACGAUAACUUCGCUUUUGUAAAUUUAACUCGAUUUUUCAGGUAUGACAACAUUGACCCUAUCAUUUUAUACCAAAAAUAUUCUUCUAUUCCCUGCUAGGAUUUCGUUAUCACUUUACUCUUAAAUUCGUUAUUUUCGUCAUUAACGAUCGAUUUUUUGUAAGAAAGUGACUUUUAAGAUUAUUUAUUGACUUAUAUAAUAUAGAUAUAGAGUUUCGUUCCAUUUCAUGCAUUUUUUGUAAAAUUGUUAUUUUAUAUCGAAAUGCGUAUGUUAAUAUUGUUUUAGGAAGUUUGAGGCGUGAGUGUUAGGUUAGGCGCGUUUUAACUUUUUGUAUGAUAUAGAGUUAAGAGUUUGAUUCAUAUCCACAUUAGUCAUAAAGUUAUGUACCUCAUUUAUUAAGUAACUAAGCCUAGAAUUAUUUAAAAGGGGUUAAACAAAUUUUGAGCCGAUAUUGAUGUUUUCGUUUUCCGAAAAGGCUUUCGAGCGAAGUAAUGAUUUUUGUUGUAAUCAAUGACUCCCAUCGGUCAACAUUUUUGUAAACGCACAUUAAAUUUUGCUCAACCAACUCAACCCCUUUUGUUUCAAAUCAAUCUUAAUUAGAUACCUUAUAUGUUAAUGAAUUCUCCGAAAAACAUAGUAGAUAUAAUCCCAAGGAGAAUAAGGAUUUUUAAAAAGUAUUUGUUGUACCGCAAGUAGUAGUAAUGCCAAGCAGACUCAAUGUCGUCAUUUUUCAAUCUUGCCAAAGUAAGCCGUAAGUAAUUCCGAGUCGGCCUAUUUACUUACUUUUUGUACUUCUAAAGUAACUCUGCCUCAUUUAAAAUGUACAGUAUUAUUAGUUUUACUUCAGUAAAAUAAUUUGAAAACGUAUUCAGUUAUAGAAAUACUACGCUUGAUUCUUGAAAGACAAAGUAUCCACAAAUAAUGAUUCCAACCGCCGUCAUAAUAUUAUUUAAAUAACAAUUGUUUUGCUUGAAAUCGAUUUGCUUUCCCGUUGUAAGUGGUUAAAUAAUAAAUUGUGAAAGUUACGUCUAUGGGGGCUCAUUUAACUCAGAGCUGUCCAAACGCCAAUACAGUGAGCGUUUCUCACAGAUUAUUUUAUAUAAAUAUUGCAGUUGAAAGAAAACUACCAAAUUAAAAUAAUUUGCUUGUAAUAUUCUGUAGUCAACAUGAAUAGCAUGACAAUACAAAAGUUUCCGCAAUUCACACAUUCCCUUUGUAAUAGUACAAUCAGGUACAAUAUCUAAAUAGUAUAGUCGUGUAAUGAGGUACAAUUGAGCCGUCAGCGUCAGCGAUCUCGCAGGUACUGUCACGUACACAAUGCAACCAAUCAUCUUGAUGGUUCAACAAUUUACAAUUAUGUGUUCUGUUGUGUGUGGCGCUGUCGCCCGGGUUAAUGUUCGCUAAACUAUACUUCAAGAAACUGAAAUAAAUAACAUGAUAUAUAGAAUUAUUAAUGCAAGCAAUAUGCGAUUAAAGAAUAAACUUUUUUAAUAUGUAUUUAAUUUUAUUAAAUGAUAUUGAUAAUCAAAUUAUGUUCUAAGAAAACUUUUUUGCUUUAGUCAAUGCCUUUUAAAGAGUAUUUAUUAAAAGAUCUAAAAGAAAAAGUUUGCCAUCACACAAAACUAUAAUAUUUUUCUCUAAGUGAACAUAUCGUGAGUAUAUAUUUAUUGUUUCGCGUGAACUGGAAAGUAAUCUUUAUGGAAACGGUGUAAUGUUGAUGGAUAUUGUUCCAAUUUUAUGAACUCUAAUCGGCUUCAUAAAUCAAAUAAGAUUAUUUAAAUUAUGCUUUCCGAUACCGUUCAUGUUCUUGGUAUAAGCACAAUAUUGAACAAUGUAAUUAAAGUUAACAUUUUGCCUGGCGUUUCAUGGAAAUCAUUACGUGGGAUCUUAUGUUACAUAAACAGAGAAUGAGAUGUUCCAUAGCUCUCUUGAACAAAGAAUCCUGGUUGAUUUCUAUGUCAAUGAAAACAGGAACGAUUUGGAAAGCAUUGGCCUUCCCAAAUUUAUGGGCUCUAAAUGGUUACCACGUCAAAUCUAUAGUAUCUAUCUUAAGUCAAAUAUAAUCAUUUAUAUCAGUUAGACAAAGUAACUACACGAAAUCGAAAAUACACCUUCACUAUUACCACAAAUGAAUAUAUAUUAUUGUAGACAAAAAAACAACUUGUUUUAUAUGAGAGUACUAGCUGAUGCCCGCGACUUCGUCCGCAUAGAUAAAGGGUUUUUAAAAAUAAUAAGCAAGUUUGGAAUUGAAGAUUAUCUCAUGUCCUAUUCCAGUUCCGGUUCCCGUUUUCGCUCCCGUUCCCAACAUAUUAUAUGCAUCUUAUUUCGAGGAAGAUUGAUAUAGAAAAUUAAAUAUUACUAUUUGUAUAGUAAUAGCUAAUCGACGUGAAUAUCAGUUUUUCACAAAUCCAGUGGAAACCAUGAAUUUUUCCAGGAUUGAUCCGGGGAUUGAUACAUUUGAAUGUAGCAUAUGUCUUUUCCCAAGAUCCAGUGUAUCGCUGUACAAAAUUUCAUCAAAAUCGAUUCAGUAGCUACGGUGUAAAGGCAUAACAAAAAACUUACACUCUCAUUUAUAAUAUUAGAAGGGAUUUGUAAAACAUUUUUAUUAUGAUCGCGACUGUACCUAAUUGAUAGUUUACGACUUACGUCUUACAUUAGCUAUUAUUGAUGAUGUUAAUCCGGUUUUAAGCAAUAAUUGAAUACGUUUUCCAAAAUAUUUAAAUAAUCAUUUGAUAGCAUGACUUAGAAUCGCUUGAUUGUAACUGUAAAAAGUGUAUUUAGGAAUUAGAUGGAUUUAAUUAAUAUUUUAGAUUAUUAUCUUUAGAUUUAUAUUAUUCGAGAAAAUCUAUUUUGCGCUUUAUUUAGUAAAGUGCUAUGGAACUUUUCUCACUAUAAACCUCUUUAUUCAACUAUAUAAAUUACGUUUGGGAUGAGAUAUUGCUGUCAAUUGUGAAAAACUCCAAUUUUUGCUGUUGUCUGUUCUACAAAUUAAUCAAAGACUAAACCACCCCACAGAUACAUGAUUAUAGUUAUGUCAAAUAAAAUAUUGAAUACGUCAUAAUAUAAUUACUUAGAUAAUUUAUACGUCUAGAUAGUCUCUUUCUGUUCAACAACUGAUAAAAACAAGCCAGGAAUAUUAGUUUAGUGUGCGUGACACGCUACGUCUUACACUCGUGAUUUGUAUGACACUUUGUGUUAGUGUGCGUUAUGCUCCAAUAGAGGUUAGUUCUAAAGCCAUUUUUUGACGUUUUCACAGCUGUCAUAGUCUAUCUCGACGUAUAAAUGAUCUAGGUUUAAUGACUUGAAAGGAAACAAUAACCAUAACAUAAUUCGAGAAACUCUGCGGUUACUCCUUUAAAUAAAACAGGUUUAAAGUCAAUAAUAAUAAAUAACUUACCAUUUUAUUAAAAUUCUACAUUUUCCAUGUAAAUGUUAACAUAACUUUCAAGAAGCAUUUUAAAGCAUUUCUAUGUAUUAAUUAAUAUAUCUCGGAAUAAAAUAAUUAGAAUAAAAUAUGAGUUUAUUUGUAAGUAGAAAGCAUAACAAACCAAAAAAAAAUAAAAAAUAAAUAUCGACGCUGCAGAAGUAAUCUUGGAUUUGAUGUAAUAAUAUAUUUUAAUAAUUAUUUAUUAUAACAUUGGAAAUUUGUAAUCUAAAAACGAACCAUAACAAACAAUUUUACUUUGAGUCUUAUUUUUCUUUGACACCACGGACAAUUAAAAAAAGAAGGACUCCGCGUCGUGUUAUUAGCAAGUGGAGCACCGUUAUGCUAGUGUGUGUGCGAUUACGGGGGAUACUAGUUACACAAUUUUUUCUCCCUUAAAUAAUCAUAUAUGGCCACAAAUACUUAUAUAGUAUCAUUUUUACACUUAUUCACAACGCACGACGGCAUUUUUAAAAAUAUUUUAUUGAGACGCAAACUGAUCUGUCACAGACGAUGACAAUUCUCAUAAUGGCCGCCUAUCGGCCUGUAGUAGUGUAAGUUUGUGCGUGGGGCUAUGUAUUUACACGUUAAUUGGCUUGUUUUGGUCCUACACUGUUAUGUAAGGUGACACGGAGUCCUUAUUUAUUACUAGUCGGAGGUUUUGGAGUUAUUUUUGUUUUUAUAUGUCAACGUCGUGAAUAUGUUCGCAUUUAUUCGUCGCAAAAGUAAAGUAUCAAAUCUUCACUACUAUUAUUGGUCUCGAAUAUCGGUAUGCUGCGACUUAAUUAAGAAGCAGUCCAGUAUUCAUCUUAUGUUACCUUGUUUUUGAUCACUUUCCCUGUUCUCUUUGAAUGGUUUUAGUUUGUGAUUGUUUCAUAAUUUGAUCGGAGCAUAUUUGCAUAGAAUUUAUUGUACAUAAAACUGUACUUAAUCGUUAAGCACAAUGUAUUCUACUUAAAAUAAAAAUCGCAGUUGUUUUUGACAAAUAUAGAAAAAAUUGUAUAAUAUGAAAUAAACGAGAUCCGACGUUAUA